CUUCCCGCACGCAGCUACGGGUUUCGGUGCUGCGCCGGUUAAGCCGGCACCAGAAACAACCUGCGACCCCACCUGGCGUGCGUCUUCCAGCACAGGGAAACGGGAUGGAAGUCAGAAGGGUCGACCACAAGGAGCUCUUACUGUGCAUCAGUUCAUCCUGCAAGUCCGCCACAUUUAGCUUCCUAUGUUACUGUCCUUUGGGGAUUCUCAAGGCUUUUCACAAAACUGGCUUCCACCUUCCUCACACACAUCCUCAUCUGGAAGAAAACUGACCUCUUCACAGAAACCCCUGACACCUUACUGACCCAGGAUCUUUGUUCAGGUGGCCAAAAGAAAAAGUUCUGCAGGCCAGGCGCGGUGGCUCACUCCUGUAAUCCCAGCACUUUGGGAGGCCGAGGCGGGCGGAUCACCUGAGGUCAGGAGUUCAAGACCAGCCUGCCCAACAUGGAGAAACCCUGUCUCUACUAAAAAUACAAAAAUCAGCCGGGUGUGCUGGUGGGCGCCUGUAAUUCCAGCUACUCCGGAGGCUGAGGCGCGAGAAUCACUUGAACCUGGGAGGGGGAGGUUGCAGUGAGCAGAGACUGAGCCACUGCACUCCAGCUUGGGUGAUAGAGUGAGACUCUGUCUCAAAAACAAAACAAAACAAAUCAAACACUGCUUUGGGCUCAAAUCCCUGAUUCUCAGUGUAUGAACUUUGCAACUUUACCUCUCUGUGCCUGCUUCCUCACUUACCAGGGAAAGUUUCAGAACUGUUGCUCCUGGCAGACACUUCGUGGACACGCAUACUCACCAUGCCUCCUUCCUGCUGACAACUGGGGACUUAAGUCACAACCUGCAGACUAGCACAGAGAAAUGUCUGACUCUUCAGUUGAGUUCAACAAAUGCUUAUUGAGCACCUCCUAAGUACCAGGCACUGUUGAUACAAAGCUACUCAGGAGGCUGAGGUGGAAGGAUCACUUGAACAUGGGAGGUAGAGGUCGCAGUGAGCUGUGAUAGCACCAUUGCAUUCCAACCUGGGUGACAGAGUGAGAUCCCUCUCAAAAAUUAAAAAUUAAAAAUACAUCUGAAUAAGAUCAAGAAGGAAAAAUAAUCAUCACUGUGGUAAAAUAAUGAAUUGUGAAUAAUUUCCUCAAAUGUCCUCUAUUAUCUAUAUUUUGC
rnacentral:lncRNA from 1 species